rnacentral:rRNA from 1 species
GAUGAACGCUGGCGGCGUGCCUAAUACAUGCAAGUCGAGCGAACAGACGAGGAGCUUUCUCCUCUGACGUUAGCGGCGGACGGGUGAGUAACACGUGGAUAACCUACCUAUAAGACUGGGAUAACUUCGGGAACCCGGAGCUCAUACCGGAUAAUAUAUUGAACCGCAUGGUUCAAUAGUGAAAGACGGUUUUGCUGUCACUUAUAGAUGGAUCCGCGCCGCAUUAGCUAGUUGGUAAGGUAACGGCUUACCAAGGCGACGAUGCGUAGCCGACCUGAGAGGGUGAUCGGCCACACUGGAACUGAGACACGGUCCAGACUCCUACGGGAGGCAGCAGUAGGGAAUCUUCCGCAAUGGGCGAAAGCCUGACGGAGCAACGCCGCGUGAGUGAUGAAGGUCUUCGGAUCGUAAAACUCUGUUAUUAGGGAAGAACAAAUGUGUAAGUAACUAUGCACGUCUUGACGGUACCGAAUCAGAAAGCCACGGCUAACUACGUG